CCCCGCGGACAGUACAAGCAACCCUAAGUGCUGUACAUCAUUUGUCACUUCCUAAUUAUGAUUCUAUUGAUUAGAUUUGUGUAGAUAUGUAAUCCGUCUAUACUGUGCCCAACAUCGUUACAAAUAUGAAAGAAUAUUCUGGUAAAAUGACAAAGAAAUGUCCCCCUCACGGCCCGGCCAGCUCCUCCCCUUCACAACAGACCCAUCAGUUCCCAACCAUCCACCAUGAAGUCAACACCGUGGCUCAGCUGGGCUCUCUCGCUGUACAUAGCGACGGUCUUCCUGACAAACACCUCCAGCUCGUCCGCUAGGCCCGAGGAAAAGGAAAUACUGCCGGCAGUCUCCGAGGUCAUGGCCAGGAUUAACGAGCUCGCUAACAGCAAGAUACCUCACUGCACGGGUCAAGCCGCGAGAGACGACUACGUGAGCACGCAUAUCAAGUCCCUGGAGGAGAUCAUCGACUCUCAGCACAUUGUACUCGGCGACCUCCGCUACUUGGCUAACAAACUGACGGAAAAUAUCAAUGAAUAUUUGCCUGAUGCUCUCAGGACGAAUUCUUCGUCUUCCGCAGCUGGUUCUGGGUGAGGCUCACCCGUCUGUCUGUCUGUCUACCUGCAACGGUAAAAGGAAUACGGAAAGACCGACACCUUGGCACCCUUAUCAUCUCUCCUUACACCUGGACACCGCUCUGAUGAAACCUCCCGGACACCACUCUCAUGAAAUUUACUGAAAUCGCUCUCUUGAGACCUACUGGACAAUGCUCUCAUAAAACCUAUUGAUCACCGCUUUUGUGAGUCCUACUGUCCUCGUAUCUCAGCUCCUAUCCUGCCCUUAUAUUCCUCUUCCUAUCCUGUCCCUAUACCCUAUCCAUGUGCUGUAUAAUCAUACAUACUUAACGCUUUUUCCUGAUAAUUAUAGUAUUUGGGCAGGUUCAACUCCUUGACUAGUUGGUAGAUGGAGUGAACCUCAGGCUUGGUGUGUGCUCUGAGCUGUCAGCUGCCUUUAAACAGCUGAAA